rnacentral:rRNA from 1 species
CGGUAAUACGUAGGGUGCAAGCGUUGUCCGGAAUUAUUGGGCGUAAAGAGCUCGUAGGCGGUUUGUCGCGUCUGCUGUGAAAACCCGAGGCUCAACCUCGGGCCUGCAGUGGGUACGGGCAGACUAGAGUGCGGUAGGGGAGAUUGGAAUUCCUGGUGUAGCGGUGGAAUGCGCAGAUAUCAGGAGGAACACCAAUGGCGAAGGCAGAUCUCUGGGCCGUAACUGACGCUGAGGAGCGAAAGCAUGGGGAGCGAACAGGAUUAGAUACCCUGGUAGUCCAUGCCGUAAACGUUGGGAACUAGAUGUGGGGACCAUUCCACGGUCUCCGUGUCGCAGCUAACGCAUUAAGUUCCCCGCCUGGGGAGUACGGCCGCAAGGCUAAAACUCAAAGGAAUUGACGGGGGCCCGCACAAGCGGCGGAGCAUGCGGAUUAAUUCGAUGCAACGCGAAGAAACCUUACCAAGGCUUGACAUAUAGAGGAAACGGCUGGAAAACAGUCGCCCCGCCAAGGUCUCUAUACAGGUGGUGCAUGGAUUGUCGUCAGCUCGUGUCGUGAGAAUGUUGGGUUUAAGUCCCGCAACGAAGCGCAACCCUC